CUUGUCUUUUUAGGGGUGACGUAUAGGGGAGGCCACUGGGUGCUAAUUUGGAUGGGACUAACAGCAGUUGUUCGUAUCUGUUAAUUAUUCUCAAUAUACAUGGAUAAUGAGGAAGCCUAUGUGGAUAUCGCUGUAUGAGGACACAGCUACACCAAUAUUCUGCAAAAUAUGACUUCAGUUUAGUCUAGUUGAGGCAGUGACCACAAUAAAUCCUCAACACUGGGACCCCCACUGAAAAUGAAAACAGCAGUUGAAAGCAAACAACAUGAUAUGAGCAAAACAAGAAAAAAUCUCAUGUUAAAAUGGAUCAGAUUGAGUGAAGGGAAGCACAGCGAAAGAGAGACAUGUGCAGGGUGACAUUAAGAGAAUUAUAUACAAAAUGUUUUAUUUAUGAGGAGAUGGAACCUUGCCAAGUGACCUUCAAUGAUUCACUAGUUGAUGAGAAAUUUGUUUUACCUCCAUAAGUUUAUCAUCAGUGGCAGACCUAAAUAAGAGAUCCUAAAUCGCAGUGUAGCCUUGUUUCUUGUUUCUUCCCCAAAAUAUGUAGCUCACAUCCUCCUUAUUCUCACAAAGGCUUUAGAAUUAUUGACUUAAAAAGUGUGCUCAGAAUUAAAGAACCUCUCCCCAUUGAUUAAAAGAUAUUCUGUUGUAUCAAAUGAUGACAAAUAUAUGUCUGGAUAUGCAGCCAAUCUCCCAAAUCCACUGGGCACAGAUGUCAGUUCAACGCUCAGCUUUGAUUGAUAUUUGCAGUGGAAAAUUAACAAAACAUUGAGGCCAUUUGUUGCAUUUUGGUUUUUCAAUUGGGUUAAAAUGAGACAAAAUGUUUAUGUGAUGAGUUUGUGCUGAUCCAAUUAGUUUAGUCCUGCGUAUAGAAGCCUUUUGUCCAAGAAUCUAAUAAAAUCUGCAAAGUUGUGUGCGCGUCAUCACGCUACUGAAUCCUGUUCUUUAACCACCAUCCUCCAUGCCACAGUGAGUGACAAAAGCCACAGUGUUGUGCCAUUGAUGAUAAUAAGCUAAUUUCGAACCCUGUGCUUUCCUCAUUUUCACCGCGGCCAUUUGGUUUCUGUCUUCAUUCUAAAUAAAUCAAAGCAUCUCAUUUCAAAUGAAACUGGAAACAGAUCGGUUAACGAGAGAAACUGAACAGCUAAGAGUUGUUCUAAUAAGGAGUGCUGCAUCAAUUAAUGAAUGCUGCUCCACACUGAAUCCAACUCAGAAGUAAACAGAGCUGUGGACAUGAUUUUACCAAGUGCUUCUGCAUGUAUUACCAACAAAAAAAAACCUUUUUAGAGAGUCUCUUGAACUUGUAGCAGAAUUCACUUUUGAAUAUUUAAUGGAGUUGAUUAAAACAUACCACAGAACACAAUGGAACAGACACUGUAACUAAGACAAUUUGCGUAAUGGCGCGGCAACAAGGCAAAUUAUGUGAAAACAAAGUAAACCAUGUUCAAAUGAAGAAUUACCCACCUACUAACGUAUAUGAACACUACAAAUAAUAAGACAUUUCAACAAAAACAGUUGACCUAAAAUAUAUCUAUACCAUUCAGAAGAGAUAAAAAAUCUAGCUCUAGUCGAACACAACUGGCACGUCUUACUGGACUAAUCAGGAGCUUUUUCCCUCAAAUUUUCACAUUGAAUGCCACGAUUUCCUUCUGUCAAUGUGCUCUUUAAUUCCACUGACAAGUUUUCAGCUUGUUUUUUUCUCUCCUCUUUGUCACUCUCUUCUCUCCAUACUUAAAAUGAACAAGACGUAAAAAAUAAGCACUUGUGACCUAGAACUGAAAAAGAAGGAACAAACUUUCAAUUUUGUGCAGACACCUUUUCAAGAUUUAAAGAUGCAAUGUUCUUUUUUAGAUAUCACAUCCACAGUCAUAGUGCCUGGGGCUUAAGUCAGAGCACAAAGGUGAAACACUUUCUUACCUGCUCAAAACACCAUCUUGACACCAUUCAUGUUGGGUGUUGACAGUUACAAUGAUAUCAGUGGUAUACGCCCUAGAAUUCCUCUGUGUGGUACUGAUCUUGUGUUGAUUAUAGGCUACAGCAGCAUUUUUGCACCAUAGGGCUGAAGAGCACAUCUCUAGUUCCUUGCACUACAAUAUAUAGCUACAGACAAAAUGACCACUGAUUGUAGCAUCUACACAUGCCUUCCUGUGCCAUGCUUUGUCUCUCUUACACGCA
rnacentral:lncRNA from 1 species